rnacentral:rRNA from 1 species
UCGGGAAUUUUGGGCAAUGGGCGAAAGCCUGACCCAGCAACGCCGCGUGAAGGAUGAAGUCUCUCGGGAUGUAAACUUCGUAAGAAUAGGAAGAAUAAAUGACGGUACUAUUUGUAAGGUCCGGCUAACUACGUGCCAGCAGCCGCGGUAAUACGUAGGGACCAAGCGUUGUUCGGAUUUACUGGGCGUAAAGGGCGCGUAGGCGGCGUGGUAAGUCACUUGUGAAAUCUCCGAGCUUAACUCGGAACGGUCAAGUGAUACUGCUGUGCUAGAGUACAGAAGGGGCAAUCGGAAUUCUUGGUGUAGCGGUGAAAUGCGUAGAUAUCAAGAGGAACACCUGAGGUGAAGACGGGUUGCUGGGCUGAUACUGACGCUGAGGCGCGAAAGCUAGGGUAGCAAACGGGAUUAGAUACCCACGUAGUCCCUGAGCGGGCUGGCAAGGCGCAU